rnacentral:rRNA from 1 species
GGAUUGGGAUAUAUUGGUCGUGCUUUUAGGGGCAUGAAUCGGUGUGUAGCCAAUUUCUUACCUUCUGGUGAAUUGGGAUGCUUCUUAAUUGGGUGUUUCAAUGAACUAGGACCUUUACUUUGAAAAAAUUAGAGUGUUUAAAGCGGGCAUUUUUGCUUGAAUACAUUAGCAUGGAAUAAUAAAAUAGGACGGUGUUCUAUUUUGUUGGUUUUAGGACCACGUAAUGAUUAAUAGGGAUAGUUG